rnacentral:rRNA from 1 species
GCUCAGAUUGAACGCUGGCGGCAGGCCUAACACAUGCAAGUCGGACGGUAGCACAGAGAGCUUGCUCUUGGGUGACGAGUGGCGGACGGGUGAGUAAUGUCUGGGGAUCUGCCCGAUAGAGGGGGAUAACCACUGGAAACGGUGGCUAAUACCGCAUAACGUCGCAAGACCAAAGAGGGGGACCUUCGGGCCUCUCACUAUCGGAUGAACCCAGAUGGGAUUAGCUAGUAGGCGGGGUAAUGGCCCACCUAGGCGACGAUCCCUAGCUGGUCUGAGAGGAUGACCAGCCACACUGGAACUGAGACACGGUCCAGACUCCUACGGGAGGCAGCAGUGGGGAAUAUUGCACAAUGGGCGCAAGCCUGAUGCAGCCAUGCCGCGUGUAUGAAGAAGGCCUUCGGGUUGUAAAGUACUUUCAGCGGGGAGGAAGGCGAUGGGGUUAAUAACCCUGUCGAUUGACGUUACCCGCAGAAGAAGCACCGGCUAACUCCGUGCCAG